UUCCACAGCUACUGGUCUGCAGCUGUUCUAAUGUAGCAGUUGUGGCAUACCUCUGUGGGAAAGAAGCUGUUACAUGAUUAAACACCUCUUAGCAAAAUUGAAGUGGGCAUAUGUGUGACAAACAGAA